GUAGGUGGGGUAACGGCUCACCUAGGCGACGAUCCCUAGCUGGUCUGAGAGGAUGACCAGCCACACUGGAACUGAGACACGGUCCAGACUCCUACGGGAGGCAGCAGUGGGGAAUAUUGCACAAUGGGCGCAAGCCUGAUGCAGCCAUGCCGCGUGUGUGAAGAAGGCCUUCGGGUUGUAAAGCACUUUCAGCGGGGAGGAAGGCGGUGAGGUUAAUAACCUCAUCGAUUGACGUUACCCGCAGAAGAAGCACCGGCUAACUCCGUGCCAGCAGCCGCGGUAAUACGGAGGGUGCAAGCGUUAAUCGGAAUUACUGGGCGUAAAGCGCACGCAGGCGGUCUGUCAAGUCGGAUGUGAAAUCCCCGGGCUCAACCUGGGAACUGCAUUCGAAACUGGCAGGCUAGAGUCUUGUAGAGGGGGGUAGAAUUCCAGGUGUAGCGGUGAAAUGCGUAGAGAUCUGGAGGAAUACCGGUGGCGAAGGCGGCCCCCUGGACAAAGACUGACGCUCAGGUGCGAAAGCGUGGGGAGCAAACAGGAUUAGAUACCCUGGUAGUCCACGCUGUAAACGAUGUCGAUUUGGAGGUUGUGCCCUUGAGGCGUGGCUUCCGGAGCUAACGCGUUAAAUCGACCGCCUGGGGAGUACGGCCGCAAGGUUAAAACUCAAAUGAAUUGACGGGGGCCCGCACAAGCGGUGGAGCAUGUGGUUUAAUUCGAUGCAACGCGAAGAACCUUACCUGGUCUUGACAUCCACAGAACUUUCCAGAGAUGGAUUGGUGCCUUCGGGAACUGUGAGACAGGUGCUGCAUGGCUGUCGUCAGCUCGUGUUGUGAAAUGUUGGGUUAAGUCCCGCAACGAGCGCAACCCUUAUCCUUUGUUGCCAGCGGUUAGGCCGGGAACUCAAAGGAGACUGCCAGUGAUAAACUGGAGGAAGGUGGGGAUGACGUCAAGUCAUCAUGGCCCUUACGACCAGGGCUACACACGUGCUACAAUGGCAUAUACAAAGAGAAGCGACCUCGCGAGAGCAAGCGGACCUCAUAAAGUAUGUCGUAGUCCGGAUUGGAGUCUGCAACUCGACUCCAUGAAGUCGGAAUCGCUAGUAAUCGUAGAUCAGAAUGCUACGGUGAAUACGUUCCCGGGCCUUGUACACACCGCCCGUCACACCAUGGGAGUGGGUUGCAAAAGAAGUAGGUAGCUUAACCUUCGGGAGGGCGCUUACCACUUUGUGAUUCAUGACUGGGGUGAAGUCGUAACAAGGUAACCGUAGGGGAACCUGCGGUUGGAUCACCUCCUUA
rnacentral:rRNA from 1 species